GAUGAACGCUGGCGGCGUGCCUAAUACAUGCAAGUCGAGCGAACAGACGAGGAGCUUGCUCCUCUGACGUUAGCGGCGGACGGGUGAGUAACACGUGGAUAACCUACCUAUAAGACUGGGAUAACUUCGGGAAACCGGAGCUAAUACCGGCUAAUAUUUUGAACCGCAUGGUUCAAUAGUGAAAGACGGUUUUGCUGUCACUUAUAGAUGGAUCCGCGCCGCAUUAGCUAGUUGGUAAGGUAACGGCUUACCAAGGCAACACUGCGUAGCCGACCUGAGAGGGUGAUCGGCCACACUGGAACUGAGACACGGUCCAGACUACUACGGGAGGCAGCAGUAGGGAAUCUUCCACAAUGGGCGAAAGCUUGACGGAGCAACGCCGCGUGAGUGAUGAAGGUCUUCGGAUCGUAAAACUCUGUUAUUAGGGAAGAACAAAUGUGUAAGUAACUAUGCACGUCUUGACGGUACCUAAUCAGAAAGCCACGGCUAACUACGUG
rnacentral:rRNA from 1 species